rnacentral:tRNA from 1 species
UGCGGGAGUAGCUCAAUGGUAGAGCGUCAGCCUUCCAAGCUGAGGGUCGCGGGUUCGAGCCCCGUCUCCCGC